GACGUAGGGCGCGAGCGUUGUCCGGAUUUAUUGGGCAUAAAGAGCUCGUAGGCGGCUUGUCGCGUCGUUCGUGAAAACCCGGGGCUCAACUCCGGGCUUGCGGGCGAUACGGGCAGGCUAGAGUUCGGUAGGGGAGACUGGAAUUCCUGGUGUAGCGGUGAAAUGCGCAGAUAUCAGGAGGAACACCGGUGGCGAAGGCGGGUCUCUGGGCCGUAACUGACGCUGAGGAGCGAAAGCGUGGGGAGCGAACAGG
rnacentral:rRNA from 1 species